UGUGAAUUUAUGAUUUAGGUUCUUUUCUACCCCAGACAGUAUUAUCGCUUUUUAUCCUGCUGUCGUUGCCGUACGGAUUGUGUGCGGGGUGAGGGUUGUGUGUUCCGUCGACGGAAAUCCAGCCUGAGGGUAGACCCUGUUUGCCUUUCUUUUAAAAGCACGCAGCAAAUGGGAACCUCACAGUGAAGCUGUUUCCUGACGGCAUGGAGAUGAUCAUGCUUGGCGAGUUUGGAGAAUAUCAUAUUGCAGAGUUCCUUGGAUGCAAUUAAUGUAUUGCUUCCUAAAGUACCACUUGUGUCAGAGUAGUGGCUCAUGGGAGACCUGGGUUGGAGUCCAGCCUGGGUUAUGUUCCAGUCUCAUUUCUCCAUCUAUCCUCUUGUCUUCUUUUUGUCAAGUGGCAAUAAAAAUGUGGC
ensembl:lncRNA